CGUUGAAACACAUGGGCUCAUAAGAUCACCGAAGUUAAGCAACACUGAACCUGGUCAGUACCUAGAUGGGUGACAGCUUGUAAAUACUAGGUGGUGUAAG